rnacentral:rRNA from 1 species
GCGGUGAAAUGCGUAGAUAUCACUUGGAACGCCAAUGGUGAAGACAGCUCGCUGGGGGUGUCCUGACGCUGAGGCGCGAAAGCCAGGGGAGCGAACGGGAUUAGAUACCCCGGUAGUCCUGGCCCUAAACGAUGUCCACUAGAUUAUGGCGGCUCUGACGCCGUCAUGGUCGGAGCAAAAGUGUUAAGUGGACCGCCUGGGAAGUACGGUCGCAAGGCUAAAACUCAAAUGAAUUGACGG